UGCCAAGGAGGGAAAAAGAAAUCCUAACAAAUAACAAGUUCAUGGAGUGCAUAAAUCUGGAUAUGUUCAAGUGAUUCAGGUUGGCUUGGAUAAUGAAAAUAAAUCCCUCCUCCUCUUGCCAUAAAUCAGCGUAUUCUGGCUUCUGUCCCCAGGAAGAGCCUGUCUGUUCCACUGCCAGGGUUAUUCCCAGUUCUUUGUCCCAGUUCUGGGACUGGAUUAUCUUCAGGGACAGGCUGAGCCUCGUGGUCCUUCUUGCAGCUGUCAGGAGACCGAGGAGAGCUUGGUGAGGUCUUGGGAGGGCUGUUCCCAUGCUGCAGAACCCAGCCCAGACCUGCUGAAGCGACCUCAGGAGCUUUGGGUUGAGAAAGAAGGUGGAAAAACGUGACCAAGCUCUGCAAUGCCCCUCUGGGAGAAGGGAGCUGCUUACUCCACUACUUUGAAUUUUCUGAGCCUCUGUGUCCACCUUUAAGGGUACCAAGAGCAUCACCAGCCC